rnacentral:lncRNA from 1 species
GGGAGAGGUGAGGAGUAGCAGAUGUUGUUGGCUGCCUACCCAACAGCCAUCCCCUUCCCCAGUCCAUGCCUCUACACCCUUUCUUUCUGAACAGAACUCCCAUUCUGUUCAGGAAACAAGGACUGUGUGUUCCACAGCAGCCUGAGCCCCAGUCCUAGCCCCGGCCCCAGGACGGAAUCUUGAUUGGCAAGGCAAGAGCCAGUGCAGCCUCUGGCAUCUGAGGCAGAUCCCAACAGAGGAUACCAGUGGCUGGAGACGUCUGCCUGGUCCCUGUAGGGUUCCAGCCUUUAGUUUGGCCUCAUGUCUGCUCUACUGCUCACUGUGGCUGGCUCUGAGAGGUAGGAUUCAAGCCCAGGAGCUGACUCUUGUGCCUAUCAUAUGUAUUAAGUUUGACUACAAAUAACAGAAAACCCAAAAUAGUUACUCAACUGAGCUGGAAAUUUAC